GAUGAACGCUGGCGGCGUGCCUAAUACAUGCAAGUCGAGCGAACGGACGAGAAGCUUGCUUCUCUGAUGUUAGCGGCGGACGGGUGAGUAACACGUGGAUAACCUACCUAUAAGACUGGGAUAACUUCGGGAAACCGGAGCUAAUACCGGAUAAUAUUUUGAACCGCAUGGUUCAAAAGUGAAAGACGGUCUUGCUGUCACUUAUAGAUGGAUCCGCGCUGCAUUAGCUAGUUGGUAAGGUAACGGCUUACCAAGGCAACGAUGCAUAGCCGACCUGAGAGGGAGGACGGCCACACUGGAACUGAGACACGGUCCAGACUCCUACGGGAGGCAGCAGUAGGGAAUCUUCCGCAAUGGGCGAAAGCCUGACGGAGCAACGCCGCGUGAGUGAUGAAGGUCUUCGGAUCGUAAAACUCUGUUAUUAGGGAAGAACAAAUGUGUAAGUAACUGUGCACAUCUUGACGGUACCUAAUCAGAAAGCCACGGCUAACUACGUG
rnacentral:rRNA from 1 species